UACGGAGGGGGCUAGCGUUGUUCGGAAUUACUGGGCGUAAAGCGCACGUAGGCGGCUUUGUAAGUUAGAGGUGAAAGCCCGGGGCUCAACUCCGGAAUUGCCUUUAAGACUGCAUCGCUAGAAUUGUGGAGAGGUAAGUGGAAUUCCGAGUGUAGAGGUGAAAUUCGUAGAUAUGCGGAAGAACACCAGUGGCGAAGGCGACUUACUGGACACAUAUUGACGCUGAGGUGCGAAAGCGUGGGGAGCAAACAGG
rnacentral:rRNA from 1 species